UCCUACGGGAGGCAGCAGUGGGGAAUAUUGGACAAUGGGCGAAAGCCUGAUCCAGCCAUGCCGCGUGUGUGAAGAAGGCCUUCGGGUUGUAAAGCACUUUCAGUGAGGAAGAAAGCCUUGAGGUUAAUACCCUCGAGGGAGGACAUCACUCACAGAAGAAGCACCGGCUAACUCCGUGCCAGCAGCCGCGGUAAUACGGAGGGUGCGAGCGUUAAUCGGAAUUACUGGGCGUAAAGCGCGCGUAGGCGGCUUGAUAAGCCGGUUGUGAAAGCCCCGGGCUCAACCUGGGAACGGCAUCCGGAACUGUCAAGCUAGAGUGCAGGAGAGGAAGGUAGAAUUCCCGGUGUAGCGGUGAAAUGCGUAGAGAUCGGGAGGAAUACCAGUGGCGAAGGCGGCCUUCUGGACUGACACUGACACUGAGGUGCGAAAGCGUGGGUAGCAAACAGGAUUAGAUACCCUGGUAGUCCACGCCGUAAACGAUGUCGACCAGCCGUUGGGUGCCUAGCGCACUUUGUGGCGAAGUUAACGCGAUAAGUCGACCGCCUGGGGAGUACGGCCGCAAGGUUAAAACUCAAAUGAAUUGACGG
rnacentral:rRNA from 1 species